UGUGCUGACUCACACAGAAAACUCCGCGCUCUUUCGCUCUGUUGUCUCUUGGAGUAGCCCGGGCUUGAAAAAUGCAACCAACAUCUCAGGAUGGCUUACAAUAAAGGUUCUAACACCGUUGGCUACUCUGCUUAGGCUGGGCAGCAGAUCUGAGACAAAAGAUUGGUGCCUUCAGUGUCUACUGAACCAGUCAAACCAGUUCAUCUCCUUCCAGUAUGCAGACCCUUGUGUGCAUAUCUGCCUCCUCCGUCCGGCCUUGGUAGUCCAGGCACUGUUUACAAGUUGGAGACAAGUCAAGAGGGAGAGCAUCUAAGAGAUCCCUGAUAUGGCACGAACGAAGGUGGAUGGAGCUGGGUCUGUUUAGCCUGGAGGGAACAAUGAAUGAUGGAAAGAGAUGUAUCGAUAGUUUCUACGGGAGCCACACACACACACAAAGAACCAAGAGUUGGCCUGCUAAUGCAUUUUUCACAUUUGAAACAGGAACUCAUGGAUAAGCUGUUUCUAUUUUCAAGAAGAAUCUUCUCUCUAUCUGGAUGUCAACUGUUCUCCAGACAUUCUCUACAUUUUUGAAUAUCUGCCCAUUUUUAAAAAACUGGACGUAGUUUAUUUAACAUUAACUAGUAUUGAAGGCUUCUCAUGUAGUAGCAUUUAGUAUCUUAGGUGCGAUUCCAUGCAUAUCUAGACAGGAAAAAGACUACAAUGCCCAUCAUGCCCCAGCUAGCCAUACAGGGAGUUGUGGGACUUUCCCCCCUUCUUUCUAACCAUGUGCAGGAUUGCACCUUUCGGCACUUAAGUGGCCACGUAGUUUACCAUGGCAAGCAACAGCCUCCUUGGGUGUUCAAUCAGAAACAUUUUUCCAAAUCUGGCCCUUUUAGAUUACAAGUGGCCAGUGCUUAUAAAAAUGGCCAUUUUAGUUAUUUUUCCUUGACAUUUUGGGUUUGCAGCUGUUCAUUAUUGUUUUUGUUGUUCUAAACCCUUUUUAUUAUUUGCACUCUCCUGCAAACCUUUUGUGAAAGGGCGCUAUGCGAACAUCAUGAAUAAAUAAAUGCUCAGAUAUUUUGGCGCGGUGUUGAAUUGGAGAGGACCCUUGAAUGCACUUUUGAAUUCAGUUGUCCUUCCCAGGAAAAUAAACCCCUUUGUUUAAGAAUCGCACAAUGCCAAAAUCUUGCUGGGCUGUCUGCAAA